GGAAUUUAAAGAAGUUGGCAGGCAGCCGUUCUCUGUAGGUCAAGGAGACAAAAGGACAGGAAAGAAUGAUAAGUUCUUGUUUCUAGAACCAGCCUAGAGUAGGUAGCUCUUCCAGGUCAGUACUUCAGAAAUGCAUUCACUCUUACUAUAAAUAGGUCUUGUCUGUGGUAACAUCAGUGACAAAAAAAAAAAAAAAAAAAAAAGCAUUAAAAAAUCCAGAAGGGUUUAUCUGAAGGAGAGGAGAAUUUGGACUGAGGUGUGCAUUUUGGUCACCCUACUAGGACAUUGUCUCCACCAUCACUCUUCCAGCACAACAUACCCCUACAUUUCUAAAUCACUGAAUCUUUAACCUGCCUAUACCUUAGAAUCACCUAGAAGACUGAGAAUGUCAGUGCCUGGGCCUCAUGCCAAACCAAUUAAAUCAGAACAUGUGGAGAGGUGGUCCAAGCAUCAGUAUUUUUAAAAAGCUCUCUGGAUGAUUCCAAUAAGUGGCCAGGUAAGUAGCAAGCAUAUAAAAUUUCUCAUGACAGAGCAAAACAAAGAUUUUGCAGAGCAUUUUAUGCUUUUUUCUCUUCCUUGUAACUCAUGUAAAUUGCAUCUUGGCAUGAAAUGGCCUAAAACUUGCAAUAACAUGCUCUCCUUCUCAAGUGACUACUUCUCAAGUCUGUUUACUUUCAGGUAAAGGGAUUGUCACAUGCUAAGUGUCCAAGAAUUUUUAUCUGUGAGGACAGACUACUCAAGGGUAUCUUGGGAUAGUUAAGCCUGUAUUUAGUAUUGAGUCACCUCCAAAUCUUAAAGGACUUGGUCUCUGCCCUCCAGAUGCUUAUAAUUUAGCAGCUAGAUUGCAGCUGGACAGAGAAGAUGUAAAUAAAACAGCUGAGAACAUUAUAAGACUGCUAAAAUUGGAUAGGUACAGUAAAGGAAGUAUUAUGAAGGUUCUCGAAAGUUUGGCCUUGAUUCGGGAGGCAGUAGAGAAUUGUUACAGGUUCUUGAGAAGGAAAACAAUAAAAAUGAUGUCCAUGCAAGAUUACAGUCUUGGCAAUAGGCAGAUAGUGUGAAGCUGAGGAAAAGCCUCAAAUUGAACAAGUCCAGUAGGUAUCUUAGGACACUAAACUUGGUGAUGAAUUGUGUGGGUGCCUUUGAGGAGGAGAUGGAUGGUUAGGAAAUGAAAACAGCAGGAAAAGUCCAGGAAUUUUGAAAAUUUUGGUAAUAACAAGGAGAAGAAAAAAGAGAAGGGCCAGAGAAGACAUCAGAGUUGAAGAUUGUUUUUACUUUUAUGUGUAUGUGUGUGUUUUUCUAAAAUAGGCAAGAUUUGUUCAAGUUUGAAGUCCAAAGAAAAUGAAUUUUUAAUAGGAGAGAUGAAAAAUGUCAAGAGAGGAGGAGAUGAGUACCAGCUAGAAAGAUUCAAUGUUUUCCUUUUUAAAAAUGUAAUCUCUCUGCCUGCCCCAAGAGAUACCUAUGGCACCAUUAAUUCUACUAUUGCCUGUCUCCACCUCUUCUCUUUCCCCAAAGAAGUCAACAGACUCCCUGGGCUGCAGGGGAAUCCCUGGUAUCCCAGGGCCUUGGCUGCCUAGGGAUGAGCAGCAGAUGCCAAAGAUAUGAGUAAACUUGACUUAUUUCCCUGCAGGAUUCCCUCACCCCCACCCAUCACCAAAAUGUAUCCACCCAAGUUUCCAUGUCCCGUGCUGUCAGGUUCAUUUUCCACUGUGGAGAUGGAUGUGUUUGAGGACCCAGCCCCAGGAUUCCAUCAGGCAAGAGGAGAAGACCCAAAGAAACCUGAAACCCAAGGGAGAGGAAGAAAGGUCAUCUCUCUAUAAAUACGGGUUUCCAACCCCUCUGGCCAGCAGCCCUAGAAUCUACUCUGUCCCUCAGCAGGGCCUUCUGGACUAGAUGCCUCAGGAAAAGAAGUGCUUUCAAGGAGCAAAGGAAAGGCAGGGAAGGUUUGGUUCCUAGUCGUUCCCUUGGGCUUGCUCAGAGACUAAACUUGCUUGAUUUCUGAAUGGGUUUCUUGGUCUUCUAGAAGGAGCAAAAAGGUCAGAUGAGAUUCUUUAGGCCUCUCACAGACCGAAAUAGCUACGUCCUGGGGGGAAACCAGGAGAACAGAGGUAGUAGAAGUCUGGAAUUUCUCCAGGGAACUAGACAACAUGGCCAUCUUGGGCAAUUUUGUAGACUCACAGAAUAAAUUAACACUAUUAUGCCCACUAGUGGAAGGAAGGAAAUAAUGACACCUAACUUGUUAAAUCAUCACCAGCAGUUUUUUUUAAGUAGCAUGAUAGGCCUAAGUAUCAUAUUUAACUAUAGCCCUUUACAUUUAACCCAGAAAAUAUUUUACUGGUAAAGGGGUGGGGGUGUGUGUGUGUGUGAGUGUGUGUGUGUGUGUGUGUGUGUGUGGUGGGGUGGUGUUGGUGGGUGGUGGUCAGUAGAGAGAUGCUGGUAGUAGAUUUCUUUCCCUGAUCCAGUCACUUCCUCAUGCGUAGAAACCUGUGUGUGUGUGUGUGUGUGUG
rnacentral:lncRNA from 1 species